GGGGGCAUAGCUCAGUGGUAGAGCAUGUGCUCAGCAUGCAGAAUGCCACAGCUUCAAUCCCUGUCAUUUCCA
rnacentral:tRNA from 1 species